AGAGAAGGAGCCCCUGGACCUUGGCGCCCCCAUAUCAAGUCUGGAUGGGCAGCGGGUCAUCUUGGAGGAGAAAGAGCCCUCCAGAGGGAAAGUAUCCACAGAGAAACAGAAAAGUGCACCAGCCAAACAGAAUGUAGCUGUAAAUUCCAGUUCCAGAAAUCACUCGGCUACGGGAGAGGAGAGAACGCUAGGCAAGUCUAAUUCUAUUAAAAUAAAAGGAGAAAAUGGAAAAAAUGCUAGGGAUCCCCGGCUUUCAAAGAGAGAAGAAUCUAUUGCAAAGAUUGGGAAAAAAAAAUAUCAGAAAAUUAAUUUGGACGAAGCAGAGGGUAUGUGUGCUUUUUACAACUUCCACGUUUUCUAGUGAAUGCGAUGUUAGUCUUCCAGGGCCGUCAUUAGGACUCCUCUGAGCCAUUGACAUCAGAAGGACGCCAUCCCUGUCACACUGAGCUGAGCAUGCCCCUCGCCCCGGGUCAGUCUGGGGCUGCUGUGCCGCUCUUCCCAGUUGUCAGACUGAGCAUCGGGCCUCUUAGAGGCCACGGAGUGCCCUUGAGGGGGGCAGCAAGUGGUCCCCAAGGGUCUGCCUGUGCCCUCCCCUCCCCAGCUCCUAC